GAUGAACGCUGGCGGCGUGCCUAAUACAUGCAAGUCGAGCGAACAGACGAGGAGCUUGCUCCUCUGACGUUAGCGGCGGACGGGUGAGUAACACGUGGAUAACCUACCUAUAAGACUGGGAUAACUUCGGGAAACCGGAGCUAAUACCGGAUAAUAUAUUGAACCGCAUGGUUCAAUAGUGAAAGACGGUUUUGCUGUCACUUAUAGAUGGAUCCGCGCCGCAUUAGCUAGUUGGUAAGGUAACGGCUUACCAAGGCAACGAUGCGUAGCCGACCUGAGAGGGUGAUCGGCAACACUGGAACUGAGACACGGUCAAGAAUCCUACGGGAGGCAGCAGUAGGGAAUCUUCCGCAAUGGGCGAAAGCCUGACGGAGCAACGCCGCGUGAGUGAGGAAGGUCUUCGGAUAGUAAAACUCUGUUAUUAGGGAAGAACAAAUGUGUAAGUAACUAUGCACGUCUUGACGGUACCUAAUCAGAAAGCCACGGCUAACUACGUG
rnacentral:rRNA from 1 species